CCACCGCUAGGGAGCAAAAUAUCGAUAUUUAAAAUUAAAAAAUCAAACUUUUUUUUAUUUCAUUAUUUGAAAGUUUAUCCAUUUAUCUACAAGUUUUGAACAUUGAAAUAUGUAAUUUUUAACUUUAAAUAUUGUUUUUAGUCAUUUUUCUAGAGCAUGUAUAAUGUUUAUUUCAUCUAAUUCCGAAUCUACAUGUAAAUAAUACCCUUGGUAACGCAUUGAAUACUUUUGAGUAGUCAUAUUCGACCUAGGCAUAUUUGGCAUCAAUGAAACCGUCGUUUCUUACACUUUCCUAAAAUAACCGUACCUCCGAAAUAAUAUAAAUAGCGUUUCGGCUUUGAACGGAAACCCGUGGUCACCGAGAGUGUAAAAUAUAUUUAUUUAUAGUAUCUUAUUAUUUCCGACAAAAUGAUUGGUCGGCAUUGGGCUUCCGCCCCUAUCGACAUUAGUUUGAACAUAAACAAAACAUGGUUGUUUACGUUUCAUUGAUGAUAUAGUUUUAGAUGCUCUACCUGUUGACUUAUUAUUCAACUUCUAAAUCUAGAUCUAGCAUGAAAACUAAAAAGAAUAGACAUUAGUCUAGAUUCGUCAUUCUAGAUCUAGACAUUAUAAGACUAUUAGCCGGCAGGCUAGGCUGAGAUGAGGCCCUAUCGACAUCGCUAUAUUGAUUAUUCAUUCAUAUUCUUAUCUUAUCUUAUAUAAUACAGACGUUACUUCAAAAAAGAAGAUGAUUACGUCCUACGCGUCAUGCAUUUAGUCAUGCAUAUUAACCAAUGACUUAAAUUCUGCCAAGUCACUGGUUUUCCUGGCUAGCUCAGGCAACCCAUUCCAUGCUCUAAUAGCACUAGGGAAGAAGGAGUAUUUGUACAAAUUUGUCCUAGCAUAUGAUCAUAUGGGACGAGGAAUGUGCCUUUAUCUUUGUGUCUUUCAGAGUAUUUUAUUAAAUUUUGUUUUUGUAUUUGAAGAUUAUGGUUCAGUGUUUUAUGUAUGAUUGCUACUUUACUUUUGAGCCUUCUGUCCUGAAGGCUUUCUAAAUUUAGUGAUUUUACUAAAGGUGUUACUCUAGUCAAAUGUGAAUAUUCGUUUGUUAUGAAUCUCACUGCUCUAUUUUGUGUCUGUUCCAGUUUCUUAAUGUUUUCUUGAGUUGAGGGGUCCCAAACGGAGGAUGCAUAUUCUAUUAUUAUUCCCAUCAACAUGAUCAACUAGAUCUAAACAAAAACAUCCUUACCACAUGAUAACUGGUGCCUCUCAAUCAAGUAGGCCUAAAGCCUAUCAAAGCUUGCAAUACACAUGUGAUCUAGAUCUAGCUGGAUUAUCAACAGUUUCACUACUACAAGAUCUGAUCUAGACUUAGACCUAGAUAAUUUAUUUACUAAUUUUCUUCUCUACAAGUUCUAGUCUAGUUACCACUUUGACAUUCACUUUGGAAACAAGACUCAACUACCCAGGUUCUUCGGCAUUGAUGCAAUCAACUGAAAUUUUAUGGAAAAGAUCAGGGCAGAAGUUUAGACAGAGACAAACAACCUUGUCUGAUGGAAACACCAGGUUGUUUUUGAGAGUUUUAUUAACAGAUCUGAGCCCAGGUAUUGUCGUAAAACAGAACAAUUCGUCGGCCUUACAGGUUUCGAACUACUUGGUUCUCUCCGCAGCCAUGUUUUAUUCUGAAGUAAGGAUAAGAUCAGCCUAGGUGACCUGGGCUAGGGUAAUUCAACUAAGAAUGCUAUAAAAAAACAACCUUUCUACAUGCUAUGCAAUAGCUAUAAGAAAUUAUCAUCAUGUGGACAAAAUAAGAAAUGCCAUUUUAGCCACUAUUCGCCACUGGAUUUCUUCUACCAAACCACAUCACCCAACCGGAGUUUCUUCAUGGUGUUAUUUUAACUUUGCUGACCCACUGGACAAAGUUCCUGUAAAAGUAUUUAAUGUGUUAGCAUUUCUUAAAAUAUGAUUUACUUGCUAAUCUCUUGGAACAUUUGUAUUGGCAGUUGUCAUAUCAAAACCUUUACAGUGGCGCUUCUCGGGAGCCACCCAGAAUGCAAAUGAGACGAUUCACCCAAAAGUAACUAAAGCAAAACAAAAUGUAUCUAAUUUAAAAGAAUAAACUUUUCAGUCCUUGGAUCUGUUGGAAAUUUGGCUUUGGAUUUUUGUAUGACUUAAAAAAUGAUUGCAUGUUUCCAUUACUAUUCAUAAUCAUCAACUUGCAAAAAAUGGGACCUAAAAAAAACCCUGUCAAACU